rnacentral:rRNA from 1 species
UGCGUAGGCGGCAUCGUAUGUCGGAUGUGAAAUCCCAUAGCUCAACUGUGGAAUGGCAUCCGAAACUACGGAGCUAGAGUGCAGGAGGGGAGAGUGGAAUUCCUGGUGUAGCGGUGAAAUGCGUUGAUAUCAGGAGGAACACCGGUGGCGAAGGCGACUCUCUGGAAUGUUACUGACGCUGAGGCACGAAAGCGUGGGGAGCAAACAGGAUUAGAUACCCUGGUAGUCC